CUCUGUCUCUCUUUUUUCCAUUUCUCUCUCAACCACUUUCUUAGCGAGCACUAGUCUGACUCAUGACAAUUAAAAGAGAGGCCGAGAACACCGAGAAGAGAUCCAGCCGAGGACAUAGGAACUAGCACCAGUAAAAUACAACCACAGGGCAGCACAGCAAAGGAGCCAGGAGAGGACAGUGGUGUGCCACAGCCCGCGACAGCUACAGCUUUUAUCUGCGGUUACACUGAUCUGAGGAAUGAAGACACUGAAGGCCAGAAAGAGACUUUGCAAGUGAAUCAAUGCUUUAAAGAAAAGGCACUACCUGCUGGAGGAGCACUUGCAGGGACUGAAGCAAGCUAUCACACCAUCAGCUAUUCCCCACCAGCCUUU